AUGCCCUUCCCCUUUCACGUUAGAAAGAGAAGCAUUGGAAUUGAAAUAUACGCUGCCGAUUCGCCAUGCUUAAUUCUACACUCCACAUUCCCUCUCCAUCCUUCCCAACUUGCCCUCUUAAUUCUAAACUCACUAAAUUUUCGCACCUUGCACUCCUCCGCCGGAAAUCCAUUAUUUAUACCAGAACUAGACUCCUCUGUACACCCUCCCAAUCUUCUUCUUCAACGGCAAUGGAAGCCCCUCCCCAAGGUUAUAGAAGGAAUGUUGCCAUCUGCCUCGUCAAUGAUUCUAAGAUUUUUGCUGCUUCGAGGUUAGAUAUUCCCAGUGCGUGGCAAAUGCCUCAGAGGAAGGACUUUUGAAUGACAAUAAGUGUUCGCCUGUUCCACAUGGUUGUGCUGCUUACCUGAUACAGAAAAUUUUAUACACAUGCUGGAAAAGAAUGAUCUUUAAUUUGGAAGAAGAUCCAGAAACAUCAAAUUGACAAUUUUUUACACAUACGAUAUCUGUAUCCCUUCUAAGGGGGGGUAUUGAUGAGGCUAAAGAUUCAAGAAGUGCGGCCAUCAGGGAAAUAAGAGAAGAGACAGGUGUUAAAUCAGCAGAAAGUCUUGCAGAGAUUAUAACCUAAUAGGCGUCAGUGGGGAUCAGAUUGGAAGUGCCAAGCACAGAAAUGGUUUCUUCUUAAGUUCACUGGGAAGGAUGACUAAAUCAAUCUUUUAGGCGAUGGAAGUGAAAAACCUGAGUUUGGGGAGUGGUCAUGGAUGUCAACAGAACAAGUAGUUGAUCUUGCUGUGGAUUUUAAGAAGCCUGUUUAUAAGGAAGUUCUUGCAGCGUUCACACCUCAUCUUCCAUAGCCUUCGGUUCACCGCUGCAUCAAGGCUUAUUACUAGUGAUGAUGAAUGCUUCAUUGGGUGUUGAUGGAAUAGUGACAAGCGCUUGUAAUAGAAUGAUUUGAGUACUGUUUUUCCUCAAGUAUUUAUGUUGAUCGUUUAAUGUUACUGUAUGGGCAGGAAAAGAAGAAAAAUCGUAUUAGUUGCUGCUCGGCAUCCCAUCUAAUAAGAAUUAAGUAACAUUUUUUAAUUUAAUU